rnacentral:rRNA from 1 species
AUUGAACGCUGGCGGAAUGCUUUACACAUGCAAGUCGAACGGUAGAGGGGGCAACCCCUUGAGAGUGGCGAACGGGUGAGUAAUAUAUCGGAACGUGCCCAGUCGUGGGGAUAACGUAGCGAAAGUUACGCUAAUACCGCAUACGAUCUAAGGAUGAAAGCGGGGGAUCGCAAGACCUCGCGCGAUUGGAGCGGCCGAUAUCAGAUUAGGUAGUUGGUGGGGUAAAGGCUCACCAAGCCAACGAUCUGUAGCUGGUCUGAGAGGACGACCAGCCACACUGGAACUGAGACACGGUCCAGACUCCUACGGGAGGCAGCAGUGGGGAAUUUUGGACAAUGGACGCAAGUCUGAUCCAGCCAUUCCGCGUGCAGGAUGAAGGCCCUCGGGUUGUAAACUGCUUUUGUACGGAACGAAAAGGUUUCUCUUAAUACGAUGAGCUCAUGACGGUACCGUAAGAAUAAGCACCGGCUAACUACGUGCCAGCAGC